AUGCACUUCUCCAGUUCCUCGCUGGGAUGUCGGGACAUGGCGCCCUCGCCGCGUCGUGGCGCCAUGAGACAGACUGCUGCGAGUGGGAAGGCAUCACUUGCAAUGGAGACGGGGCCGUCACUGAUGUCUCCCUGGCAUCUAGAGAACUUGAAGGGCGCAUCUCGUCGUCCCUUGCCGACAUCACCAGUCUGUUGCGUGUCAACCUCUCGCACAACUCCUUCUCUGGUGGCCUGCCGCCAGAGCUCUUCACUCCUCUGGGAGCAUCAUUGUCCUCGAUGUCAGCUUCAACCGUCUCAACGGACUGCUGCGGUGCUGCCCGAGCUGCCAUAUUUGUUUGCCACCGAGCGGCCUCUGCAGGUACUCAACAUCUCAAGUAACCAGUUCAGCUUAGAAUUUCCAUCAGCCACAUGGAAGGUGAUGAAAAAUCUGAUCGCCCUCAACGCCACAGGUUCACUGGGCACAUACUAUCUUCUCUUUGCAUUGGCUCACCAUCUUUGGCUUUGCUUGACCUCUGUCACAACCAAUUGA
rnacentral:rRNA from 1 species